AACGUAGGAGACAAACGUUAUCCGGAGUUACUGGGCGUAAAGGGCGUGUAGGUGGUGCUGUAAGUUCGGCGUGAAAUUUUUCGGCUUAACCGGGAAAGGUCGUCGGAUACUGCAGGACUAGAGGACGGUAGAGGCGUGUGGAAUUCCGGGUGUAGUGGUGAAAUGCGUAGAGAUCCGGAGGAACACCAGUGGCGAAGGCGACACGCUGGGCCGUACCUGACGCUGAGGCGCGAAAGCUAGGGGAGCAAACGGG
rnacentral:rRNA from 1 species